GAUUUUACGAAGUUCGUUUAUUUUAUGUAAACAAAUAGCUUCGCAGUAAAUUUUCGGUAAUAAAACACCGAAAACUGUAAAUCAGUGUCGCUGUCAACACAAACGUCAAAUUUCAGGCGUCCGUUUCUGGCAGCUUUGAGCGCAACUGUCUCUCUCUCUGAUAACCGCGAUGCAUAGUGGCAUCCCGCUUGCGCUGUAGAGAAAGUAAAGCAGGAAGAACGUAUGCGCGUGAGAUCUGUUCGUUUCUGUUUUGUCAAAAGAUUGUUUUGUUUUGUUUGACCCUCUUCCGUUCGCAUUUUAAACAGAUUUUGUUUGUUCGCAGUUCAGGAAGUGUUACAACACAGUUAAUUGGCAUUCCGUCCCCGGGAGAAAAAAAAACAGUCGCCAAAGACUCUUAUCCAUUGGUGCAAUCAACACAGGAGUACAUAACGGCAUCGAGUUUGCGCAAGAAUUAAUACGGGGGAACAGAUCAAUGAUCUUUCAUGAUGCAGUAUCACAACACAGUGAUUUUUACUUCUACAAAAUCCGAGCCAUCAUUCCGGCUUAUUCGGUUGCUCCCACUGUCCGCACCAAAACCAAACCAAAUUUUCAGCACCACAGGAACCAGGAGCUGUCGAAAGAAACAUGUUCAUCCCACUCUGACAGGAACGAUAAGAAUCAGAGGUUCUCAGAUUUUACGAAGAAAUUAAAGUGUUGCUUAGACAAGUAAUCCUCUUGAAGGAAACGAUGCGGCCCCGCCAAUUUGACCACUAGUGCUCCGAUCAAUUCCAAGAAUUUCACGUUGGCGAGGACAAGCUCCAGCAACUGCUCCUCCAACGAGGAAAAAACCAUUCCUUCAUCAUCAUCAUCUGCUGAAUCAAAUACAUUUGAAUCAAGGAUACAUUUCCCCUAAGUGAUGGUAUCACAACCGGCUUUCAAUGAAGCCAAUAAUGGAUCAACUGCCUGUACUCCGGCACCGGGUCGACAACUUUGGAUCCCGAACCUUUCGACACAGCAUAGAUAGAUGAAAAGGAUUUGGACAUCGAUGUGUAUUCUCAUGUUUCAUGCUAAUAGGACUUGUUUCUGACGUACUAUCCUCCUGGAUUCCUUGUACCUCAAGUAAUCAGUUUCAAGGAGAACCAUUUUUAUCGUAAGUAACAUUCGGAUUUUUAUGAAACAAUACGCAUAUAGAGCAAC